AACCUGCUGAACUUGGGAGAACACAAGAAUUAUUCCUGAAAGAGAUCAGAAUAUAUUUUGGGGAGAAAAAGUGAACAGAUGGAGAACAGACAUGGAGAUGCUACAGAGAUGACAGAGGCUAUUGGGGCAAUCAAGAUACAGAUAAUGGCUUUCGGACUCAGCAAACCCCAGUAGAGGGAGUGUGGCAUCAAUGGGGAGGAGUUCAAAAGCAAGUCUGAGAUUUUAUUUACUCAUUCAUGAGUGACACAGGCAGAGACAUAUGCAGAGGGAGAAGCAGGCACCCUCCAGGGUGCCUCAUGCAGGACUCAAUCCCAGGACCCAGGGAUCACACUCUGACCUGAAGGCAGAUGUUCAACCGCUGAGCCACCCAGACGUCCCUAAAGUGGCAUUCUCUUUAAUGUCUCGUUCCCCCUCAAUAUGUGGACAGGUUGACCCAGGAACAAAAAUUCCCUUACUCGAUCUAAAGCCACUUCUGCAUGUCAAUAAAAAGAAACUUGUAUCCACAUUCUUAACCAAGAAAACUGAACAAGGAAAAAAUACUGGUCUUGUUUAUGCACUAAUUUUUUAGGGAAAGCUACUAUAAAAAUAAACUUCAAUAACUUCCCUGCUAAUCAAAAUUAACCCCCAAAAUUUUAAAAAGGGCUUUUAAAAAUAAUAGGACUUGCUUAUGUUUGUAUGGUUUAUUAUUUUCUCUCAAACACCUGCCACAGUUCCUGGGAGUACAGGGACUUACUUUUUCAUCCAUUCAUUUAACAAGUAUUUGCUGAGCAUCUCCUGAGCCCCAGGACCUGUGUAAAGUUAGUGAAAUACACUAUUAUGUAAGAACAGUCAUGCUUUAUUCCUUCAUGGAGCUGGUAGUUUAGUGGAGAAAAGAGAUGAAUAAAAUAUUCAUACCAAGAAAUUUAUAUAAAAUUAUAUUUCUGUGUAAAAUUAUAAUGUGUUAAGUACUAUAGAUGGGAUGGUUUAUAAUGCUUAUAAUGUUUAUAGAUAGCAUAAAAUAAAAAAGUUUAACCUACUCAGAGGACAUUGGAGAGGCUUUUUGGGGAAGCAGGUAAAGUGGAAGAAUGGGGUUCCUUAACUAUCUUAAUGAAACUGGUGCAGAUUGAAGGAAAAGUUUAUUUAUUUUAUUUUUUAGAAGAUUUUAUUCAUUCAUUCAUGAGAGACACACAGAGGAGAGAGGAAGAGACAGAGGCAGAGAGAGAAGCAGGUUCCAUGCAGAGAGACCGAUGUGGGACUCAAUUCCAAGUCUCCAGCUUCACGCCCUGGGCCAAAGGCAGAUGCUCAACUGCUGAGCCUGAUGUAGGCGUCCUGGAAAAAUUUAAAUAUAUGGAAAAAGGAGAGGACAAUUUUUUAAAGGAUAGACUGAUAACUAUUUGAAUACUUUGAAUUUGAAGGGUCUGGAAUACUCACAUGGAAGAAUUGGAGAGGUCCAUUGCUUAGCAGAAAAGUCUCAAUUGCCGAAAUUAAUUUAGAGAAUCUUUAAUAUAUGAGUUAUAGUUAAAAGACUUUGGAAUUAAAAUCUCAGGAACAGUGGAUUGUAUGAUAGUCUGAAUAAUGUCCCCUCUCCAAAUAUAUCUACAUCCCAAUCCCUGGAAUCUGUGACUAUUAGUUUAAAUGCAAAAAGGACUUUGCAGAUGUGAUUAAAUUAGGAAUCUUUAAGAUUAAGAUAAAACUAGGAUUAUCCUGGGUUAUCUGGUGGGCCUGAUAUAAUGCUCCUUAUAAAAGAGACUCAGAAGGAAUCAAAGUCAGAGAAGACAAUGUGAUGAUGGAAACAGAGAAUGACAUUCUGCUCUCUGAAGAUGGAGGAAGAGCUACAAGCUAAGAAACACAGCUGAUCAUUAGAAACUAGCAAAGAAAACAAACAAAAAAAGCAACAACCCUAAUUCUUCCCUCAGAAAAUCCAGAAGAAACCAGCUUUUACUAACACUUUGACUUUAGCCCGAUGAAACCAGUUUUGACUUCUUACCUUCAUAACUAUAAAAGAACAAAUGUGUUUUAAGUUUGUGAUCAUUUUGUUACAGCAACAAAAGCAAACUUAUACAUAGGGUGAAGUAAGAAGGAAGAGAUGAAAUCCUAGGGAAGACUCCCCUCUAGGAAUAAUGGUGGAAAAAUGCUCUAGUACAGAAGACACCAGAGAGCAAAAUGAAGAAAGGAUGGACUCACAGAAACCAAGAGAGACAAUAUUUCUAGGGAAAUAGAGUUGUUGGCAAGAGGUGAUUAGGGUAAUAGUUGAUAGGAUCUGUACUGGAUAGGGAAGGAGGUUGGAGCCAGAGAGGAAGAUGGGUUAGCGAAAAGGCAGAGGCUGGAAAUGGAAGACUGAGAAUAGUGGAAAUGCAGAUUGGUAGCAUUGUUGUGAUCUGAAUAGAAUAUUGGAAUUUAAGAUUGUGGAGGUGGGUGCUGAUUCAGCAUAGAAAUGUAGAGAGGACUGGAGAUGAGCUGAUCCACACGUACACUGACCUCCAUUAGAAUAAUGGUGAGUAUUAAAGCUGAAACAAAGUCUUGUCUUUAAGUGCCUGAUUUACUGAAUUUGUGUUUUUACUGAGUCAUUUAACAGAGUGCACCAACUGCAAGGAAUUUUCUUCCACUUUUAAAGAAGGUAUUUAUAUUUUCUUUUAAGAUGGUAUCUUUUCAUCUUGUUUACAUGUGAAUGGCUGGGUUCAAACACUUAAUCUACCUUAAAAAUUAAAUGCCCAACAUUGUAUUUUCUGGAUCCAUCUUUUUGUUCUUCCAAGCAAGAGUCUAAAAACUGAAUAUUUCUUAUUCUGGUCAAUUUUCUGUAGCCAGAUGGUUGGGAGGAGGGGAGGUGGCCAAGCAUAGAUGAUAGCCCAGAUGAAGUGGCAUGUAAUCUUUAUUAGAACUCAGGGCUCUACUCUCCCCUCUGCCCUCUGCGCCCAGCUCUAUUCUAGAGUCACUCUUCAUAGUGGAAGGUACCAUCGGGUAGGAUCCGUUCACUGUGUAACCCUGGAGCCUUUACUUCUACCAGAGGUACCAUAGAAUUUAUUUUUCCUGACUUCAUCCACUUUUCCCCUGGAGCACUUUCUACUAGUGUUCAAUCAAAAGAAAAAGAUUGAAUUUUCUUUACACCAUUUAUAUGGUAUUAAGGAGUAUUUACAAGCUUUUUCUGAGGAUGAGGACAUGGUUGGGAGCUGAUCUGUUUUUGUACAUGUUUCUUCCCCUCUGGAAACCCUUGUUUCUUUCUUUGUACUAGUUUAUUAGAUUGCAUUAUGUUAUUCUCUUGUUCUUGUUUUGUGGCCGCGGGUGAACAUUUUUGAUUGGCUUUGGUUUUGUUUUGUUUUUCUCAUUUUGUUAAAUUCUAUGGGAGGGAAAUUAAAUGAUGCAGUUGUGAUCUACCACCUAAACCUGGAUGCUUAUAAACAAUAUUUCACUGGUUACUUAUAUUUAUUAUUUAGAAAAGGAAGUCAAUCUACUAAAAUUAUAUUUCAGAUGCAGGAUUAAUUAUUUUUAUGAAGUUGAAUUUAUUAUAGAUACAGCUAGAACUAACUUGUGUUUUUAAUUUCCUUAAAGUGCCUUGAUUGUGUAGUGAUAGGAGCAGUAAAAAUCAAAUAUAAAUAAGUACUUGCAUCUGACAAGUAAUUUAUAAAUAUUUUACAUGUACUGUGACCAUAUUUAUUUAUGU
rnacentral:lncRNA from 1 species